GAUGAACGCUGGCGGCGUGCCUAACACAUGCAAGUCGAGCGAACAAACGAGAAACGUUCUUCUCCGAUUUACGCGUGGGAGGGGUGAGUGACACGUGGAGAACCUAGCUUUAAGACUGGGAUUAAGUCGGGAAAACGGAGCCAAUACCGGCUAAUCUUUUCAACAGCAUGGUUCAAACGUGAAAGACGGACUUGCUGUGACUGUUACAUGGUUCCAUGCUGGAUUAGCUAGUUGGUGAGGUCACGGCUUACCAAGGCAACGAUGCAUAGCCGAGCUGAGAGGGUGAACAGCCACACUGGAACUGAGAAACGGUCCAGACUCCUACGGGAGGCAGCAGUAGGGAAUAUUGCGCAAUGGGCGAAAGCCUGAUGGAGCAACGCCGCGUGAGUGAUGAAGGUCUUCGGAUCGUAAAACUCUGUUAGUAGGGAAGAAGAGAUGUGUAAGUAACUGUGCACAUAUUGACGGUACCCAAACAGGAAGCACCGGCUAACUACGUG
rnacentral:rRNA from 1 species